AACGAACGCUGGCGGCAGGCCUAACACAUGCAAGUCGAGCGCCCCGCAAGGGGAGCGGCGGACGGGUGAGUAACGCGUGGGAACGUGCCCUUUGCUACGGAAUAGCCCCGGGAAACUGGGAGUAAUACCGUAUAAGCCCUACGGGGGAAAGAUUUAUCGGCAAAGGAUCGGCCCGCGUUGGAUUAGGUAGUUGGUGGGGUAAUGGCCUACCAAGCCGACGAUCCAUAGCUGGUUUGAGAGGAUGAUCAGCCACACUGGGAAUGAGACACGGCCCAGACUCCUACUGGAGUCAGCAGUGGGGAUUCUUAGACAAUGGGCGCAAGCCUGAUCUAGCCAUGCCGCGUGAGCGAUGAAGGCCUUAGGGUUGUAAAGCUCUUUCGUGGGGGAAGAUAAUGACUGUACCCCAAGAAGAAGCCCCGGCUAACUCCGUGCCGGCCGCCGCUGUAA
rnacentral:rRNA from 1 species